GGAUCGGGCGGCGGCCUGUGGGAGGGUCGCCAGGUAUGGAUCCCAGACCCCCUGUUUCGUGAGGGCGUGCCGCCGGGGCCCGACGGCAGAGCGCG
rnacentral:ncRNA from 1 species